rnacentral:lncRNA from 1 species
GAAAUUCCCUAUAUAUUUCACUAAGAAAUUGAUACUCUUUCUGUUUUCUUCAAUACAUUUAUAUUCCUUUUUUUUGUUUUGUUUUGCAGAAGAACAAAUGGAAGACUGCUUGAACUCAAGUUGUGAUUAUCUUUGGGGAACUGAGAAGUUUAAGAGACAGAGAACAGAGGUAGAAGAACAUGCCUCUGGUACUUGGACUGAUAUUCAUGUAUCCAUGAGCACAUCAGUGAAUUCUCCAUCACAUGGCAAUGAGCAGAACAGCUUAACACCAAAACGACAUACCAGAAGUUUAACAAAGAAACGGAUUAGACAGCACACUUUGAAUGACAGGGUGUCUUUAGGAAAGAAACAUUUCAAGUUUCCAAAGGAAAAUCAGAAGAAUGAGAAGAGCAAUACUACUUCAAUUGCAAAUGAAAGUUCUCUCCUCAAGGGCUUUGGUCAUAUUACUCCUUCCAAAAAAAUGGUCCAAUUAAAUACUGUUUCUGCUUUGAUUGACAGUCUCUCUAAUUCACCUAUGAAUAGUCAAUACUUAAAUACAUGUUCACUGGAUAAAAGCUUCCCUGUUGACAGAAAUGAUUGUGUUCUGGAAGACAAGAAGAGGAAGAAACGACAAACAUUACCAAGUUUGAAGCUGGCUACCUCAGAACUGGGUGCAUUGGGCUCUAAGGGGUUCUUGCAAGCAGUUACUACAUAUAGCAAGUCUUACUGCGCUGAAGAAGCUUCUUAUGAAGACUUUUUUUCAUCAUCUAAUUCAAAUAAAAAUGAAGUACAGAAACAAGUACCUAAGGAAUCACAGAAUCCUCUUGAAGUUUGUUGCAAAGCCUCUUUUACGAGCAUGGACCUACAUGAUGAGAGUUUCUGUGAGCCACAUAACACUACUAGGAAAAGUAGUAAGACUUCUAUUUCAGUGAAUGAUUUUUCAGUAAAGAAAAAAAUCCAACUAGCUAAACAUCCAGAAAGCAUACCAUUAAAUAUAUCAGGUGAUGAAAAAGAUGACACUGGAGAAGCUCUAGAUGCUGAUGAUGUGAACAGGCUGCCACAGCAUGCUCAUGAAAAAUCCUACAACAGUGUAAAUGACUGUGCUCAUACUACUGGUGAUGAAAAUGAGAUCUCAGAGUGUCAUGUUACUGAUGGCUCUUGCAAAAUCUUUAAUGAACAAAAGAAUCAGCACACUAGGGGCUUAAGAAAAGCUGGAAGACUCCAAAAGGUCAGUUUCACUGGACAUUUGCUUUGUUAAAUUCUUUCGUGGAGGAUCAUUGAGUG